rnacentral:rRNA from 1 species
AUGACGGAUGGGCCAGCCUUGCCCGCGGGCCAGCCUCGCAGCCACACGAUGUGUGUGCCUGUUCCGGUGGAAAAAAGCAGCAACGAUGGAACAUGGGUUGGCAGGAGCGAUCGUGGGUUGGCAGGGCGUUUUUUUUACCACUCUUCUAGCACCCAGCAGCAACCCUUGCGCUUCAGCCACGCCGGCCCCAUGUGUCGGUCUCCCCAGCGUGCUAAAUGGGCUAUCGGGCCGGCCCGUUUACUAAUCGGGCCGUGCCUGGGCCAAGGAGCAGCGCCCGUGGGCCGGCACGGCACGACCCGGCUAUUAAACGUGCCAUGGCGGGCCGGGCCGGGCCAGGCACGAUUAGCACAGGCCGGGCCGGCCCGUUUGGCCAGGUCUGAUCCCCGCCUCCUCUCCUCCUCCUCAAUCCGUCGCCUCUCCCGCAAGCCGCCGCCCUCUCUCCUUCUCCCCGUCUUUGGCCCCGCCCUCGCCAACUCCCGACGCUCCGCCGAGUGGAGAACCAGGAAGGAGGAGGGACGUGAAGUGGAGAAGAGGGGGUGCGCUGGAGAAGGAGCCAAGCCUGCAGGAGAGCACGGAGUGCCGGCGCGCCGUGCCCGCCGCAGCUGCUCGUGGAGAUCCGGCAUGUGCUGCACCAUGGAGGCGCUCGUGGAGGUACUCUCGCCUUCGGAACCACCUCGAUCCGCGUCUGGAACCAUCCUGCUCGUCUCCAACUUUUCCAGCUCACUGAUGAGGACCUCGUCUCGGCCUCCCUACCAGCCCCAUCCGUUAGAGCACAACGCCGCCUUUUGCCUCCCCAUGCGAGGGUUUGAUGUCGAGGAGGUUCGGUUCCUACACCAAUGGUUACAGCGGGCUCUGCUGCAGGGAGUGGAAGUUUUAGAAUGCUGCGGACAGGUUGAGAGCAAUAGAUGUUUUUUAAGUCCUAGAAGUAUGAGUGGGUUGACUUUUCUUGAUGUGUAUUUUAUACAACGAGCAACUACCUUGCGCCGUCUUUCAACCGCCAACAAUCCCAUGACCCUGCAUCAGGACAAUUUGAUUUUGGGAGGACAAAGGUCAGGCAAGGAUGAGAAUGGGAUACCAGAUUACAACGAUGGAGGCUCGGACAUGGAUCUGCUCAUGCUCUCAGCGGGAAUACUGGAUGUUCUCGAAGCUUUGCCAUACACACGUGCUACUUUUGGCACUUGUGUGGGCUCCAGUUUGUGUCAAUGCAAUUUGCAUCUAUCAGCGGAUUAUGUCGAUCAGGAACCAGGUUGUAUAAUGCACCAAUGCUGCUUUCUGAUGACGACGGCAAUGCCAAACGCACCAUCACCUGAGUAUGGACCCUUGAUGGGCCAUGCUUUUCUCUGCUUUUUGCGUUCCUGGACUGUCUAUGCGAUUGGCGGGGAAGGAACCAUGAGAGGAGCAGUGGCGAUAUUCAAAGAGAUUAAACGGCAUGGUUUGAGGAUACCCAUUACAUGGAUCCCCAAAACUGUGGACAUCGGCGUCAUAGACAGGUCGUUUGUGUUCCAAACUGCAGUGGAGAUUACUCAGCAUGCGAUCAACCGGCACAUGUGGAGGCUUCUAUGGUACAUCCACCCCCAUUUCCCUUCCUUCCCCAGAAAACCUCCCGCCCGCUUGCUCUCCCGGCCACUUGCCAUGGGCGACGCGUCAAACCCCGACGACGUCGUCGACCUCGCCUCCACCAUCAACAUGCCCCGCGUCGUCCGCAAAAAGGGGGUGCCGCCCAAGAAGGUGCUAAUGGACGUGCGACGGGUCGUUCCACCAAGAGGGCUGGCCGGAGGCAGGUGCAUGCCGACAAGCUAG